UCUUCGGCAUCUUCAUCUUCUUCUUCUCAUUCUCAUUCUUUUUUUUUCUUUUUCUUUUUCUAUUUGAGUUUGAUUAUGGCUAGUGAUUUUGGGUACGCAAUUUUGGUGGUGAUUUUGCGCAGAUUUUUCCACUACAUGGAUGGUGAUUUUAGGGCUCUCCAUUGACUGGUCCUGCUGCUACUUCUUCUUCUUCAACACCUUGUUCUUCUUGCUGAUCCACUCGCAGAUCCAAGCACCGAUCCACUUUCUCUGUCUCUGUUGGUUCUUGCAUCUUUGACUCUUGAGUGGGAGCUUCCAUUGGUGCUUCAUUAAUUGGUGUUCGAAAUUGAUAUUAUAGUGCGCAUAGGAACUCCAUCCACUUGGUGCAUUGAUAGGAGUUGUAUUGACUUGAUAGAAGUAUGUGGUGAGAGUGUGUGUGUGUGUGUGUGUGUGUGUGUGUGUGUAUUGAGCUUCUAUGUGUGCAUAUACAUGUAUGUUAGUGCUGAGCAUAUUAAUUGGAAGUUAGUUAUAGGAAGUUAGUUACUAUGCUAGCUGUAUGUGCUAGCUAAGGGUGGGCUGAUGAGUUUAACUGAUUGUAACUACUAGAUUGUAUUGCACUAAGCUGUAUAUAAGGUAAAGAAGGGUGUAUGAGAAGUUUAAGCAGAAAUAAUACCAAUUUUCCUUGACUCA